rnacentral:rRNA from 1 species
UACGUAGGGUGCGAGCGUUGUCCGGAAUUAUUGGGCGUAAAGGGCUCGUAGGCGGUUUUGUCGCGUCGGGGAGUGAAAAACCUUGGGCUUAACUCAGGGCUUGCUUUCGAUACGGGCAGACUAGAGGUAUGCAGGGGAGAACGGAAUUCCUGGUGUAGCGGUGAAAUGCGCAGAUAUCAGGAGGAACACCGGUGGCGAAGGCGGUUCUCUGGGCAUGAUCUGACGCUGAGGAGCGAAAGUGUGGGGAGCGAACAGGG